AACGCGAAGAACCUUACCUGGGCUCGAACGGCUUCUCAACGGCAGUGGAAACACUGCUACUCCGCAAGGGGGUGGAGUCGAGGUGCUGCAUGGCUGUCGUCAGCUCGUGUCGUGAGAUGUUGGGUUAAGUCCCGCAACGAGCGCAACCCUUGUCCUGUGUUGCCAUCCCGCAAGGGGGCACUCGCAGGAGACCGCCAGCGAUAAGUUGGAGGAAGGUGGGGAUGACGUCAAGUCCUCAUGGCCUUUAUGUCCAGGGCUACACACGUGCUACAAUGGCCGGUACAACGCGCCGCUAAGUCGCGAGACGGAGCCAAUCGCAAAAAACCGGUCUCAGUUCGGAUUGCAGGCUGCAACUCGCCUGCAUGAAGCUGGAAUCGCUAGUAAUGGCGGAUCAGAACGCCGCCGUGAAUACGUUCCCGGGCCUUGUA
rnacentral:rRNA from 1 species